rnacentral:rRNA from 1 species
UACGUAGGGUGCGGAGCGUUGUCCGGAAUUAUUGGGCGUAAAGAGCUCGUAGGCGGUUUGUUGCGUCGGCUGUGAAAUCCCGAGGCUCAACCUCGGGUCUGCAGUCGAUACGAGCAAACUAGAGUGUUGCAGGGGAGACUGGAAUUCCUGGUGUAGCGGUGAAAUGCGCAGAUAUCAGGAGGAACACCGGUGGCGAAGGCGGGGUCUCUGGGCAACAACUGACGCUGAGGAGCGAAAGCGUGGGGGAGCGAACAGG